UUUCUGGUAUAGAUAUGUCUCAUGCAAUAUUUGGGACAUAUUCAUAUUACAA
rnacentral:pre_miRNA from 1 species